rnacentral:rRNA from 1 species
UACGUAGGGGGCUAGCGUUGUCCGGAAUUAUUGGGCGUAAAGCGCGUGUAGGCGGUCCGGUAAGUCUGCUGUGAAAGUCGAGAGCUUAACUCUUGAAAGCCGGUGGAUACUGUCGGACUAGAGUACGGAAGAGGCGAGUGGAAUUCCUGGUGUAGCGGUGAAAUGCGCAGAUAUCAGGAGGAACACCAAUUGCGAAGGCAGCUCGCUGGGACGUUACCGACGCUGAGACGCGAAAGCGUGGGGAGCGAACAGG